GCCUAUGGCCAAAACAACCGGAAUGUGCAUGAGAUUCCGUCAGAGCUCAUAAGCUAAACAGGGUUGAGCUUGGAUCGUGCUUGGAUGGGCGACAAACAUGCAUAACAGGUGCUAUAGGCU
rnacentral:rRNA from 1 species